UUUGCAUAUCUUUGUGUAUGCAUGCUAUAACUGCCAACAUUUCAGUUAAAAUAAUAUUGGAAUUAAACAUAAGCAGAAGGAAAAAAUUAAUAGAGAUGGAAAAAGGAUGCACUCAUGUGUGAUUAGAAAAUGAUGAGGAUUUGAUGAAGUGGAAAGGUAGAAAGUUGUUCUGGAUGCCAAAUACCUGUAUAGGCUCCAGCAUCAAUGAUAGUGACAUGUGAUGGCAGUCUGCUUCAGAAAGAAUCCCUUUGCAAUUUUGCACACUGUGACUGCAAUUUAAACCUGAAGAUUUUCAGCUUACACAGUGCUACCUCUCCUAAGUGGAUCUCAAGUCUACUCAUGCUUCUUUGAAGGGAGCAAAUAAACACUGAGAACAUUGGAUCUAAACAUUCCAAAUAAAAAUGGCAGUCUGAAUGGGCAGGCAGAGCCUGUGUCAGGCCCCAACCCAGCAGGCCUGGAUGGCCAGUAUCGGACCCCAAAGGUGAGGACGGGCAGGGUCC
rnacentral:lncRNA from 13 species